GUCUUGUUUUUAACAGGAACGUUUUCUGUAUUUUCAAAUUGUAGGCUGGAAAUGGAUUGUGAAGCAAUUAAGAAUGCAUGCCAGGAAUUGCAAUUUUUACAUGUUUUACUUGCAUUUUCUAGCAACUGAAUCAAAUAGAAAAGUCCGCGUUGCCAUUGAUUUGAGACUUUUAAGUAUUGCAUUUGAUAAACAAGUCUCAGAAAUUCUAAAAAAUCUUCAUUUGAGAUUUUGCACUGGUAGUGCAGUGCAAACUCCAGUUUUUAAGCUCCGGUUGCUUUACAGAUCAAAUAUUUGACUAGCUACUCUGGCUGCGUUGGUUCUCGACACAGAGGACAAAUUAUAGGAUAAUGGCGGAUAUUAUUCGGCACAAUUUUGUCCCAAGGUUUCGUCCCAGAUGACGUGAUGCAGCGUAUUAAAUCAUGACGCUUGCGAUUUACAACUUUUCCUGUGAUAGAUAAGAUAGACACGAUGACUUGCAAUUUGGCCGUUUGCAGUAGUCGAAAAUGCCGGAGAUCCGUUCUCCGCCGCACAGCACUAUUUUGAAGCUUUUGAAUUACAAGAGUGUCUGAAAUUCAGACACAUCCCUGUUUUGUUAGUUGUGAUUUGAGAUUUUGACACACUUUGAAAUUCAGACACCCCUCCU